rnacentral:rRNA from 1 species
UACGUAGGGCGCGAGCGUGUCCGGAAUUAUUGGGCGUAAAGAGCUCGUAGGCGGUUUGUCGCGUCUGCUGUGAAAACCCGAGGCUCAACCUCGGGCCUGCAGUGGGUACGGGCAGACUAGAGUGCGGUAGGGGAGAUUGGAAUUCCUGGUGUAGCGGUGGAAUGCGCAGAUAUCAGGAGGAACACCGAUGGCGAAGGCAGGUCUCUGGGCAUUAACUGACGCUGAGGAGCGAAAGCAUGGGGAGCGAACAGG